GAGCUGUUUGCAAACAGACGACUGUCAGCUGACUGAGGGAGGAGAAACAGGAAGCAGAUGCCCGCUGGUUUUCCUGUUCUCAGCGAAGAUCGUCUAUUAGGUCAGACCUUUGUUCCUGGUGGUUGACAGCAGUUUAAGGAAAAAGGGGCGGAGUGAGACGUCUCUCUCCGCUGUGUUGACUGGACGUGGAUCUGGAUACAAUUGAUCAGGAGUUCAUGCGCAUAUCAACUGUACCUCUACUAUCUACAAUCUUUGCUGAGCUGGACCGAUACUCACCAAGCACGAUGGGGAUCUUCAUCAUCUUCAACAUCUCAUGCUGGCCAUCUCCAAGGCUUGCAUUAAAAUGGAUGACACCGUACAUACAAGAUGAACAUGCAACCUCAAGUACUUCAGCACCUACCUGAACGAAGGUCAUGAGAAACUUAUGAACGAAUACAUGAAUAAAAGCAGAAAAUUGGACGUCAGCUCAUCUGAGCCAGCACAUCUGGACUCAUUCUGUGUCUCAGAAUUACCCAGAAGGCCUGCGGUGUGUUUUAGCCGGUCAGAAGGAAACCAAGGAGGUAAUGAGC